ACAGAAAAGCACAACAGAGGUGUGAGUCACAACACAGAAACUUGGAAAGGCUUUUCACAGAAAAUAGAUCCCAUGCGAGGCCCGAGAAAACUAGAAGUAGUGGAGGUCAAAUCUCGGCAAAUCACUAUCCGCUGGGAGCCAUUUGGAUAUAAUGUAACUCGUUGCCACAGUUAUAACCUCACUGUCCACUACUGUUACCAAGUUGGAGGACAAGAACAAGUGCGAGAAGAAGUAAGCUGGGAUACAGAAAACUCACACCCUCAACACACGAUCACUAACCUGUCACCAUACACCAAUGUCAGUGUGAAACUGAUCCUCAUGAACCCAGAGGGCCGGAAGGAAAGCCAAGAACUCAUAGUGCAGACAGAUGAAGACCUCCCAGGUGCUGUUCCCACUGAAUCCAUACAAGGAAGUACCUUUGAAGAGAAGAUAUUUCUUCAGUGGAGAGAACCAACUCAAACAUAUGGUGUAAUCACUUUAUAUGAG
rnacentral:sRNA from 1 species